GACAUGAUAAGGCGCUGGAGGUGUUUACUGAUAAAAGUUUUGAUGCUCAUAGAACAUUUUGUUAGUGCAGACAUUCAUGGAUAAAUUUGGGCUCAAUUUGACUGAAUUAUCUCUCUGUUUGUUGGUUUAUUUCUUGAAUUCAUGGGGAAGUCAGAACUAAUUACAUGGGACGCGGCCAUUUAGAUGCAGUGCAGUGGCGGUGUCAUUUAGAUGCGUUUGGAUUUUGUGGCAGGAUCAUAGAAGGGCGACAAGUUCAUGUCACAACCCUCCUUCUAGGCCAUCAAGAUCAUUUUUAUCCUCAAUUUUGUUUUUAAUACUCCCUCCGAUUCAUACUUUGAGUAUACGCCAGUCUGUACGGUCUGGAUCUUACAAUACUUUGGUUUAUAUUUUAUUCAAAAGCAUAUGCAUGAGAUAAUGGCAAUAAAAAAUUCCUCGGAUGUAUUAUCAUGUCUAUUUAAUUUGGCAAGUUCUUGUCAUUAUCUCUCUUAUUUGCCUCCAUAUCUCUAAUCCUGCUUAUUUUUCCUGAAUUUUCUUAGUGGUUGCAGCGAGCACAAGAAAACUGAGUUCGCCAGCUUCAUAUGGUGCUAGCUCUGGUUCAGCCGAGAGUGGAAGUUAAUUGAAGAGUAUGUUCGCACGAGGCUCGAAAACCCCUGGUAAAUGUAUUGAUUUGGUACGUUUCUUGCAUUCCCAGGUUUUAAAAAACUGCAAGGAUUUUAGAGUUCCUGGUGCCUGGGUGGUUGUGUAGGAUUUGGGAGGUAACCCCUCAGAAACAUUUCAACAGUAUGGUACAUUUGGCUUUACAGCUGCAGAACAUGCUCGGGAACAAUCAUUCAAGAAAAAAGAAAGAGAAGUUAGCAUCGUUUUAUCUGCAACUCACCCAAUUUUACAGUACUCCAUAGAUCAUGAGACUAAUUUAGUUUCAUGGUGGUCAAUGAACUCUCUUGGUUGUUAACUAUAUUUGAUAUUUCGCUUAUUUGGCAAAAGUAUUUGAUACAGAAAGGAUGUUCUUUGCUGCAAUAUGAAUAGCCUAUAUUUUGAUAUUUCGCUUGUUUGGCAACAGUAUUUGGUACACUAGGAUUGGAUAGCCAAGCACUUGAGUACAUAUUUGGGGUUUUGCUUAAUACUUCCUCAUGGCCUGUUCAAGAGGAAAAUUCUGUAGCGCUUUCCUUUGUAUAUUAUUUCCUGCCAAAUUCAUGCAUUCUGCUAUUCUAAUUUUUCUAUACAUCCGGCAUCACAGUGGCCACAGGUAGCGCGGGCGGAGUUUGGGGAAAUGAGAACUUCAGGCAGAUUCCAAUGUGUAGUAGAAGUUCAAGGCUCUGGUUUUAAUGCUGUAUAAAAACAAAGCAAAAGGAUGCUCUGGUUUUUCCUGCAACUUAGUUUCUUCUUCGUUUGUACUUUUUUACAGACGCUGGCAACAAGGUGAAUGAACAAGUGGGUUUCAGUGCCCAUCUCAGUAGAGAAUUUGCUUACCAAAUUAUGAUGUUGUUUCUAACUUUUCAGUUUUAUCAUUGAUAUGAUAUUGUUGAUUAAAGGAGCCCCCCUCCCCACACACACACAUAAUCUCGACUUUGGCCUGUAGUCAACAGUUACAAAGUGCAAAUUUUGAUUUAUUUUGCAGGUUCAUCCAUAAGGUAAUGAUUUAAAGGUUCAUCUGCCAGAUAUAAUAUGAGUCAUUUGUUUCAGGCAGAACACAAACGCGUGGAAGUCCGGUGACUCUGGGAGUGGGGACGAUGGCGGGUCAGCAUCUUCCUUCCAUGCCCUCUCCCCUGAUGUGGGUUGGUCGCCGGUGAUGCUGACGUUGAAGGCCUGGUUCAAGUGGAAGGAUUUAGGAGGGUUGGAGGUGAGCGCCCAUCUCCUUGGAUAUUGGUGCAGCAGAUCUACAUCCAUCUCUCUGCUGCAAAGUUACUAUUGCGGGCAUCUGUUGUAAGAGUUAACACUUUACAGGUUGUUUGGAGUUCUGUGCCCGGUAACUCAGCGCUAUACUAUACUCCGUAUCUUGAAACUUUAGUUUAGAAUCCAUGAAAAUACCAGAUUGGUUAGAUAAUUUUGGUUCCCCGCAAAAACAAAAGGUUAGACAAUUUGGGUUAAUUAACUAUGUCGGCAGUGUCUCCCCUCACAGGCUUCUAUCGCUGAGAAGCUCGAUAUAUAUAAAUUCUAUCUCUAAUGACUAACGGUGUAAUUAUCAUUUUUACUCAUUGUAGCUUGUAUCUUUGGUUUUGUUUAUUCUGAAAUAAUUGCAUGUGCGAUGUAAGGACUAAUGGGAUAUAUGUGGUGAUUUGAUGCUAAAGAAGCUACAGAAUCAGCUUUUAA